UAGAGGGAGAGACGUAGAGAGAGAGACAGAUAGACAGAGAGAGAGAGAGAGAGAGGGAGAGAGAGAGAGAGAGACAGAGAGGUAGAAACAGAGACAGAGAGACAUGAGAGAGAGAGAGAGAGAGAGAGAGAGAGAGAGAGAGAGAGAGAGAGUGAAAUACCAGUGUGCCAUCACAGCAGCAAGAUUUGUGACCUGUUGUCACAAGAAAAGGGCAACCAGUGAACAACACACACCAUUACUCAGACGGGAUGACAGAAUCAUGGAAAGAGACGGUUUCGGGUUCCUGGGUGGCAGAGUUCUUCGGCGGUUGGCGAAGAGGUGGUCGAUGGAGAUACGGAACAAUUGAUUUAAAUCCUGAAUGUCAUCUCUACAGGCCAGCUCCACCUGAAGUUCCCUGUUGAGCCCUCUUCGGUAGACAGACCUGAGCCCUAGGACCAUGCCCCAGGACUACCUGACAUGAUGACUCCUUAAUGUCCCCAGUCCACCUGGCCGUGCUGCUGCUCCAGUUUCAACUGUUCUGCAUUAUUAUUAUUCAACCAUGCUCGUCAUUUAUGAACAUUUGAACAUCUUGGCCAUGUUCUGUUAUAAUCUCCACCCGGCACAGCCAGAAGAGGACUGGCCACCCCACUUAGCCUGGUUCCUCUCUAGGUUUAUUCCUAGGUUUUGGCCUUUCUAGGGAGUUUUUCUUAGCCAUCGUGCUUCUACACCUGCAUUGCUUGCUGUUUGGGGUUUUAGGCUGGGUUUCUGUACAGCACUUUGAGAUAUCAGCUGAUGUACGAAGGGCUAUAUAAAUAAAUUUGAUUUUUUUUUAAAUAAA